rnacentral:rRNA from 1 species
UGGGGAAUUUUGGACAAUGGGGGCAACCCUGAUCCAGCAAUGCCGCGUGUGUGAAGAAGGCCUUCGGGUUGUAAAGCACUUUUGCCCGGAAAGAAAACGCCGUGGUUAAUACCCGUGGCGGAUGACGGUACCGGAAGAAUAAGCACCGGCUAACUACGUGCCAGCAGCCGCGGUAAUACGUAGGGUGCAAGCGUUAAUCGGAAUUACUGGGCGUAAAGCGUGCGCAGGCGGUUUGCUAAGACCGAUGUGAAAUCCCCGGGCUCAACCUGGGAACUGCAUUGGUGACUGGCAGGCUAGAGUAUGGCAGAGGGGGGUAGAAUUCCACGUGUAGCAGUGAAAUGCGUAGAGAUGUGGAGGAAUACCGAUGGCGAAGGCAGCCCCCUGGGCCAAUACUGACGCUCAUGCACGAAAGCGUGGGGAGCAAACAGGAUUAGAUACCCUGGUAGUCCACGCCCUAAACGAUGUCAACUAGUUGUUGGGGGAUUCAUUUCCUUAGUAACGUAGCUAACGCGUGAAGUUGACCGCCUGGGGAGUACGGUCGCAAGAUUAAAACUCAAAGGAAUUGACGGGGUCAUAGCUGUUUCCU